GUGACUCGUCAGAUGCUCCCCAGAGCCCAGCACAGACCCGGCUCCACCCACUUCUGUGGGUUGGCCAGAUGAGUGAGAAACACAGGCACAGCCAACGAGAGGGAGCUGAGGCCGGACCCAGGAGUCUUUUUCCUAUGGUCCUGCCUGAUAUAGUAACCGGGAAAGGGAUGAAUGUGAUGCAAUGUGCUCUUGUAAUGGAGCAUCACAGAACAGGUCAAAGACACAAGCCACACAGCAACGAGCGCGGACAGGCAGGGCAGAGCACAGCUGCACGGCCUGUAUGUCCAGUGCUCAGAUCUUAAGCAUCUGCUGCAAGCGUGGGUGACCCCCAUCGUGGAACAAGCCCACUCUCUGGCAACAGCAAUGUGAACCUUCUGCUUGUAAUGUAAAUGUGAAACCCAGGGCCAGUAAGAGAUUCCUCAGAUUUGCUGUGCAGCCAUGGAAGGCAGGUUUUUCAAACAGAAACUCUUCUUCCUAAAAAUAUUCGAUGUUCAAAUCUUUUCUCUGCAAAAAAGACGGAGGAGGAAGAAGUGAAGUUGCUGUGCGUGAGCCCACCUGGAGGGCAGCAGCCCAGGAAGGGCCAAGGGACUGACAGCGACAGCUCAAGCAUUGCAGCACCUGGGCCUCCUGCUCUCCCAAGCCAGCAGGAUUUUCACUGACUCCCAGAUGGCAGAGCCAAGCCAGUGAGAGACAGAUGUUGGCUCAAGUGGUUUUGAGAGCUGAUGAGUUCCCUGUCCCUGGAAGUGUGCAAGUAGAGACUAAAGGACCACUCCUGAGAAAUAUUGUGAGACAAGCAGGGGUUGGGACUGGAAGGAUGGCCCUUGGAGGACCUCAGAGACCCAGGCCUCUUGUGUCUGUGUCCUUUUGGAACUCUUGGUCUUCGCCGAGGGAGGGAUGCCCUCCAGGCUGCCUGGGACCACAUAAGGUCUUGGGAGACAGGAGCAGCAGUAGCAGCUUCGUGUAUGAAGGUGCUCCCAGUGCUGGGCACUGUAGGGAGGGCUAUCCUACCACAUCCUCUCAGCGAAGGGCUUUUGUAGAGUAUGGUUAAGAAUGCAGAUCUGCAGUGGGUCACGCCUGCAAUCCCAGCACUUGGGGAGGCUGAGACAGGAGGAUGGCUUGAGCCCGGGAGUUCGAGGCUGCCUACCCCCUGCACCCCAGCCUGAAUGACAGAGCGAAGAGAAAUCCUGUUGUCUCUUUAUUUGAAAAAAAUUUUUAAGUAGGUUCUGGAGCCGGAAUGUUGCAGAGAACCAGGCGCCGGCGCCUCCCAAUGGUCACCAGCAGGUGGCGCCGCUGACCUAGGUGCUGGGCCCCUCGGCACCCCUCGUUCUGGGUGGCGCUGGGAGGAGCCAGUUUGGGCGGAGAGGAGCCCUGGGCCGCCUACCCUGGACUGAAGUCAGGUGUUGAGCACGGGUGGACCCGGCUUCUUUACCUUCCUGAGGCCUUGGUCGAGGGGCUGGCUGCCCGCCCUGUGCAGAGGACUUUGUCCCUGGGGUGGGUGGGUGCAAUAAAUGUCAGGGCUCUGACCCAGGGACAGAGGGGCACAGAGGGUAAAGGGUCCCUCACUCUCCCCUGGCAGCGGCCGCUUGUCACAGUCUAGGAAAAUAUCCAGAGACUGUGCCGGGUGGGGGGUUUUGCAAACCAGUCCAGUGGGUCGAAACCAGUCCAGCCGCCCCACUGAACAGAUUCUGCAGUGGGUCACACCUGCAAUCCCAGCGCUUGGAGAGGCUGAGGCAGGAGGAUGGCUUGAGCCCAGGAGUUCGAGGCUGCCUGCCCCCUGCACCCCAGCCUGAAUGACAGAGCCAAGCAAGACCCUGUUGUCUCUUUAUUUAAAAAAAAAAAAAAAAUUAUUUUUUGUUUGAGACAGAUUCUCGCUCUGUUGCCCAGGCUGGAGUACAGUGGCGCGAUCUCGG
rnacentral:lncRNA from 1 species